rnacentral:rRNA from 1 species
UAUGAUCCAGAGUACCACGGGACACGUGAAACCCUGUGGGAAGCAGGAGGGACCACCCUCCAAGGCUAAAUACUACCUAGUGACCGAUAGCGUAUAGUACCGUGAGGGAAAGGUGAAAAGAACCCCGGGAGGGGAGUGAAAUAGAACCUGAAACCCUGCACUUACAAGCUGUGGAAGAACAUUUCUUGUGUGACCGCGUACUUUUUGUAGAACGGGCCAACGAGUUACGUUAAGUAGCAAGGUUAAGCACUUAAGGUGCGGAGCCGUAGCGAAAGCGAGUUUUAACUGAGCGUUCAGUUACUUGA